rnacentral:rRNA from 1 species
CCUACUGGUGGCAGCAGUCGAGAAUCAUUCACAAUGGGGGAAACCCUGAUGGUGCGACGCCGCGUGGGGGAAUGAAGGUCUUCGGAUUGUAAACCCCUGUCAUGUGGGAGCAAAUUAAAAAGAUAGUACCACAAGAGGAAGAGACGGCUAACUCUGUGCCAGCAGCCGCGGUAAUACAGAGGUCUCAAGCGUUGUUCGGAAUUACUGGGCGUAAAGGGUGCGUAGGCUGGUUCAUAAGUCGUGUGUGAUAGGCGCGGGGUCAACCCCCGGACGGCACAUGAUACUGCGAGACUAGAGUGGUGGAGGGGGAGCCGGAAUGCUCGGUGUAGCAGUGAAAUGCGUAGAUAUCGAGAGGAACACUCGUGGCGAAGGCAGGUUCCUGGACAUUAACUGACGCUGAGGCACGAAGGCGAGGGGAGCGAAAGGGAUUAGAGACCCUUGUAGUC